rnacentral:lncRNA from 1 species
AGCUGGUGAGCAUAAGCACAUCGGCAAGAGUGUGAGAAGCAGGGCCAUGACCGAAGACAAAAGGCAUUGAGUGUGUCUGACCAGAAAUAUGAUGCAGCAAUCAGCAGUGACUCAUUCCUAUGCAUAUCGGCAAGGGAUAACCUAAUGCAUUGUUCUAGUUUUCGCUCACCCCACUGAACCUCAUUAGAAUGGCUGACCCUCAAAAACCAAUCCUUCCAUCCCACAGUGGGACUGGGCCAGGAACGGAAGGUAUCUUUCCACAGAUCUAGAGAAAAAUUCUCGGCUCUAAAAGGGAUUCUGUUCAUUUCUACGUUGAUCAGAUCGGUGGGAUCUAGGUUUCCUAGCGGACCGAGACAUUGGAGGUGUGGCUGAUCUAUAGGGAUGACAAUUUUAUUGGACAGAUCCUAAUAGUUUUUAAGGAUAAAAAGAAGAACAAAAGAAAAAAAAGAAGAAUGUUCAGUAAAAUAAAUUGUGAAUGAACAAGGAUAUGGUAAAAGUACAAGAGGUAGGGUGAUGAACUGACCUCGGGGACAGCAAAGUUGAUGGCCAUCUUCUCGCGAAAAAGAUGAUCGAAGACUUUGAAGUUGGUGAAGAAAGGGCUUCGUUGGAGUUCUUAGGGCUGUCGAACAGCGCCGCCGCAAUAAAAGUGGAGUUGGGGCUGUAGAAUGAUGCGAUGGAGAAGGAGUACCUGAGAAGGGACUAUUUAUAGGACAAAACGGGC